AAGCAUUGAAUUGAUUUUGGGUUUACUUGAUGUUUUGAUUUCAUCUGUAAGGUUUGAUUAAGGGGUUUUUGUGAUUUUGAUUUGUAGUGUUACCAACAAUUUAUAUUCAAUAACAUAUAGAGAAUGAGAAAUCAUGUGUAUGGCACGCUACUGAUUACUCUGAUGGUGAAUUGAAAGAACAAUUGUUUUGUGUUCGAUUUGCAUCCACCGAGAUACCUGAAUACUACCUAAGGUUGCGCAUCAAAGUUUGGGGUACUGGUACAUUCUUUGGUGUCGGUGUAUCUUAUUUGCAAACAAAGCUAGAUGCAGGAGGACAUGAUCAUACCUCCACUAUCUCUUGUCUGCAGGAUACUGGGAUUACUCGACAUCUUCCUUACAUAUUGCUUUGUGAGGAACUGAAGGGAGUUGUUGCAAGUACUUUUGUUGCUUUUACCACGCCACCCAGCAAUGCCGAAUAUAACUGUGUCUUUAAUGAAAUAAUGGAUCCAAGUGGGAUGUCAUACGAUGUAUAUGGAGUACUUUGGAGAUGUUUCACUAGGUCGAUUAGAUGGCCAAAAACUUCUGUAAUCCUAUAUGAGAGACCUAACUAGAUUGAAUGCUUCAGUUCAAAUUUUUAAGUGUGAUUUUGAGUUGUAAAUGCAAAAUGAAUUUAUCCUUUUUUUGGUUGUAAUGUAACACUGGAUUAUCUUUUAAAUGCAAUGUAUAUCUGAUUUCAGAUUCA